UCAAGCUAAAAAGAGCGCAGGGUGGAUGCCUUGGCACUAAGAGCCGAUGAAAGACGUGAUAAGCUGCGAUAAGCUACGGGGAGGAGCACAUAUCCAUUGAUCCGUAGAUUUCUGAAUGGGGAAACCCGGCUGAGCAUACCUCAGUCACCGUGCACUGAAUCCAUAGGUGUACGGAGGGAACCCGGUGAACUGAAACAUCUAAGUAGCCGGAGGAAGAGAAAGAAAACUCGAUUUUCAAAGUAGCGGCGAGCGAAAUGGAAAGAGCCCAAACCGGAGUGCGUGCACUCCGGGGUUCGGACUGCAUUUAUGACUUCUGACUGUAGCGGAACGGUUCUGGAAAGACCGGCCAGAGAGGGUGAGAGCCCCGUAGGCGAAACGGAAAGAAGCAGAGCAGGAUCCAGAGUACCACGAGACACGAGAAACCUUGUGGGAAUAAGCGGGGACCACCCCGUAAGGCUAAAUACUCCUUAGUGACCGAUAGAGCAGAGUACUGUGAAGGAAAGGUGAAAAGGACCCCGGGAGGGGAGUGAAAGAGAACCUGAAACCCUGUGUUUACAAACUGUGGAAGUACCAUACGAGUACAACCGCGUACUUUUUGUAGAACGGUCCGGCGAGUUACGUUUACUGGCGAGGUUAAGCACUUAAGGUGCGGAGCCGAAGGGAUACCAAGUCUUAACAGGGCGUAAAGUCAGUGUACGUAGACCCGAAACCGGGUGAUCUACCCAUGUCCAGGCUGAAGUUGCCGUAAAAGGCAAUGGAGGGCCGAACGCACAUCCGUUGAAAAGGGUGGCGAUGAGGUGUGGGUAGGGGAGAAAUUCCAAUCGAACCCGGAGAUAGCUGGUUCUCCUCGAAAUAGCUUUAGGGCUAGCCUCGUUUUAGUCUUAUGGAGGUAGAGCACUGAAUUUCCGCGGGGGCGUCAAAGCUUACCAAAGAAUAUCAAACUCCGAAUGCCAUGUAGAUGAUGAACGGGAGUCAGACUGCACGAGAUAAGUUGGGCAGUCAAAAGGGAAAGAGCCCAGACCGCCAGCCAAGGUCCCAAAGUGUGUGUUAAGUGGAAAAGGAUGUGGGAUCUCCAAGACAACUAGGAUGUUGGCUCAGAAGCAGCCACACAUUCAAAGAGUGCGUAACAGCUCACUAGUCGAGAGGUCCUGCGCCGAAAAUGUCCGGGGCUGAAACACAACACCGAAGCUGCGGAAUUGCGAAUGCAAUUGGUAGAGGAGCAUUCUUAAUGCCGACGAAGCUGUACCGGAAGGAGCAGUGGAGGGAUAAGAAGAGAGAAUGCCGGAAUGAGUAGCGAGAGAGAGGUGGGAAUCCUCUCGGCCGAAUAUCCAAGGUUUCCAGAGUAAAGCUGAUCUGCUCUGGGUAAGUCGGGGCCUAAGGCGAGGUCAAAAGACGUAGCCGAUGGACAACAGGUUUAGAUUCCUGUACCGCAUAUAAACAGAACUGUGGGGACGCAUGGGGAGAGCAUGGGCCGGGAAUGGAAAUACCGGUGCAAGCGAAGGAGGUGUGCAGCCGGCAAAUCCGCUGCAUGAGCCGAAAGCGUGACGCGGAGCGAAAUGAAAGUAGCGAAGCAUGUGAGCCCUGUGCCGAGAAAAGCCGCUAUUGUUUUAUAUGUGCCCGUACCGUAAACCGACACAGGUGGAUGAGGAGAGAAUCCUAAGGCCGGCGGAAGAAGUAUUGUUAAGGAACUCGGCAAAAUGACCCCGUAACUUCGGGAGAAGGGGUGCCCACGGGAGUGGGCCGCAGAGAAUAGGCUCAAGCAACUGUUUAGCAAAAACACAGGUCUAUGCGAAACCGAAAGGUGAAGUAUAUGGGCUGACGCCUGCCCGGUGCUGGAAGGUUAAGAGGAGAGGUUAGCGCAAGCGAAGCUUUGAAUUUAAGCCCCAGUAAACGGCGGCCGUAACUAUAACGGUCCUAAGGUAGCGAAAUUCCUUGUCGGGUAAGUUC
rnacentral:rRNA from 1 species